rnacentral:rRNA from 1 species
GGGACCAUCCUCCAAGGCUAAAUACUCCUGACUGACCGAUAGUGAACCAGUACCGUGAGGGAAAGGCGAAAAGAACCCCGGCGAGGGGAGUGAAAAAGAACCUGAAACCGUGUACGUACAAGCAGUGGGAGCACGCUUAGGCGUGUGACUGCGUACCUUUUGUAUAAUGGGUCAGCGACUUAUAUUCUGUAGCAAGGUUAACCGAAUAGGGGAGCCGAAGGGAAACCGAGUCUUAACUGGGCGUUAAGUUGCAGGGUAUAGACCCGAAACCCGGUGAUCUAGCCAUGGGCAGGUUGAAGGUUGGGUAACACUAACUGGAGGACCGAACCGACUAAUGUUGAAAAAUUAGCGGAUGACUUGUGGCUGGGGGUGAAAGGCCAAUCAAACCGGGAGAUAGCUGGUUCUCCCCGAAAGCUAUUUAGGUAGCGCCUCGUGAAUUCAUCUCCGGGGGUAGAGCACUGUUUCGGCAAGGGGGUCAUCCCGACUUACCAACCCGAUGCAAACUGCGAAUACCGGAGAAUGUUAUCACGGGAGACACACGGCGGGUGCUAACGUCCGUCGUGAAGAGGGAAACAACCCAGACCGCCAGCUAAGGUCCCAAAGUCAUGGUUAAGUGGGAAACGAUGUGGGAAGGCCCAGACAGCCAGGAUGUUGGCUUAGAAGCAGCCAUCAUUUAAAGAAAGCGUAAUAGCUCACUGGUCGAGUCGGCCUGCGCGGAAGAUGUAACGGGGCUAAACCAUGCACCGAAGCUGCGGCAGCGACGCUGA